AACGGGGGGGCGGGGGCGUAUUCAUCUUUAUCUGGGCGUAAAGGGUGUGUAGGUGGUUUUUAUGCUGUUUUUUGGCAAAAUUUUAUAGUAAACUACAAAGCUGAUUAAUACGAUAAGACUAAGAGUAUAUAAGAAGAUAAUGGUACUCACAGUGUAGAGGUGAAAUUCGGUGAUAUUGUUGGGGGACUAUCGGAGGCGAAAGCGAUUAUCUAUUGUAUACUGACGCUGAGACACUAAAGCAUGGGUAUCAAACAGG
rnacentral:rRNA from 1 species